AGAGUUUGAUCCUGGCUCAGGAUAAACGCUGGCGGCGCACAUAAGACAUGCAAGUCGAACGGAAGUCGUUAUAAAAGGAGAGAAGAUUUAUCGGAUUGAAUUCUAUAACAAUGGCUUUAGUGGCGGACUGGUGAGUAACGCGUAGGAACCUACCUAUUAGGAGGGGAACCAACAAUGAGAAAUCAUUGCCUAAUACCGCAUAUGCCAUAACUACCGCAUGGUAGAAGU
rnacentral:rRNA from 1 species